rnacentral:rRNA from 1 species
UGCAGUCGAACGAUGAAGCCCAGCUUGCUGGGUGGAAGAGUGGCGAACGGGUGAGUAACACGUGAGUAACCUGCCUAUCACUCUGGGAUAAGCGCUGGAAACGGCGUCUAAUACUGGAUAUGUCCCAUCACCGCAUGGUGUGUGGGUGGAAAGAUUUAUCGGUGGUAGAUGGACUCGCGGCCUAUCAGCUUGUUGGUGAGGUAAUGGCUCACCAAGGCGACGACGGGUAGCCGGCCUGAGAGGGUGACCGGCCACACUGGGACUGAGACACGGCCCAGACUCCUACGGGAGGCAGCAGUGGGGAAUAUUGCACAAUGGGCGCAAGCCUGAUGCAGCAACGCCGCGUGAGGGAUGACGGCCUUCGGGUUGUAAACCUCUUUUAGUAGGGAAGAAGCGAAAGUGACGGUACCUGCAGAAAAAGCACCGGCUAACUACGUGCCAGCAGCCGCGGUAAUACGUAGGGUGCAAGCGUUGUCCGGAAUUAUUGGGCGUAAAGAGCUCGUAGGCGGCUUGUCGCGUCUGCUGUGAAAACUGGAGGCUCAACCUCCAGCCUGCAGUGGGUACGGGCAAGCUAGAGUGCGGUAGGGGAGAUUGGAAUUCCUGGUGUAGCGGUGGAAUGCGCAGAUAUCAGGAGGAACACCGAUGGCGAAGGCAGAUCUCUGGGCCGUUACUGACGCUGAGGAGCG